GUCAACGGUCACGCCACCCUGAACACGUCUGAUCUUGUCUGAUCUUGGAACCGAGACAGGGUUGGGCCUGAUUAGUACCUGGGUGGGAGAGAUAUCAGGAGUGCUGACA
rnacentral:rRNA from 1 species